rnacentral:rRNA from 1 species
UAUGUGAUCGUCUCUCGCAUAUCAAUAAGCGGAGGAAAAGAAACUAACAAGGAUUCCCCUAGUAACGGCGAGUGAAGCGGGAAGAGCUCAAAUUUGAAAUCUUAAAGGGUUUCCCUUUACGAAUUGUAGUUUAAAGAAGUGUUUUCUGUUGAGGUUUUGGUAAAAGUUCUUUGGAAUAGGACAUCAUAGAGGGUGAGAAUCCCGUAUUUGACCUUUACUUUCAACUUUGUGAUACACUUUCAAAGAGUCGGAUUGUUUGGGAAUGCAGUCCAAAAUGGGUGGUAAAUUUCAUCUAAAGCUAAAUAUUGGCGAGAGACCGAUAGCGAACAAGUACCGUGAGGGAAAGAUGAAAAGAACUUUGAAAAGAGGGUUAAACAGUACGUGAAAUUGUCAAAAGGGAAGCGUUUGACACCAGUGUUGUUUUUCUGAAAAUCAAUUAAAGAACUGUUUAUGCUAAGCUGUUUAGACUUUAUCAGCUAUCUGUUUAGUUUUGAGCUUUUCUUUAAUGCACUUUUCAGUUAACAAGUCAACAUCAAUUUCUUUUGCUGUAAAAAAGCUUGAGGAAGGUGGCUUGAGAUUCGUCUUAAGUGUUUAUAGCCUCUUGCCUAUGCAGUCGGAGAGAUUGAGGUCUGCAGCGUAGAUCCUUCGGGGCUAAAUGCAUUUGUGCUAAGUUAUAGCAUUUUAUAGACAACUUGUUGACUAUGAUUUGUCUUGUAGCUUACUCGCUUAUGUUAUUUUACCUACGCUUAGGAUGUUGAGCGCAUGUCUCUCUCU